rnacentral:tRNA from 1 species
GCGGGUGUCGUAUAGUGGCAGUAUAGAGGUCUCCAAAACCUUUGGCGGGGGUUCGAUUCCCUCCACCCGUGCCA